UCCCUGGAGAAGUCACAUGUCCCUGGAAAUCGCUGAAUCUACUCCAGCGCAGGGCUCCUUGCGAUGAAAGAAACAAGACUACCUUGAUAAAGUAUGCAGCAAGAGAGAACAUUUCAGAGCGUAGCAACGAAAAUGAAAAUACAGCAACGCAGUUACGCCUGGUGUUCCCUGCUUAGUGCACACGGCCACUCACUCAUCACGCAGUGAUUAAACCUCCGUCAAAGGAAUGGAACGAGCAACUGAGGCGAAUCGGGACGAUGCUCUAACCAACUGAGCUACCCGGCCCGGGCCUCCCGCUUACCAUUUUGAUCUUCAGGCAAGAGAGAGGCACCAUGUUUGAAAGUCUUGGUUCCCAUCACAGUUCAUCUUGUAACACCAGCCAGCCAAGCGGGUGUCUCUGCAGAGCUGACCUGAACCAGGCUGCCCGGCUCUGGGAACACCACGCGGCCCCGCUCGCCCUCCUGAGGCCGCGCCCGGCUGCUGAGCACGGGAGUCGGACAACACCGGUGCCCCGCCCUGCGGGCCCGGCACCCAAGGCUGCGUCCGCGCGGCUCCACGCUCCACGGACUCGCUUGUGAGAAAGGUUGGUGCCUUCGCAGAGCAGAGCAAGGGCACGGCCGAGUGAAGGGAAGGACCAGCUGGACCCUCGGGUCACGGCUCUGUGCCUGAGGCGGGAGCAGAACAUGCGAACAGGGGCGCUGGCGCUGGGCUGACGCGCAGACGGCCGCGUUUGGCUGCACAGUUCGCGG